GAUGAACGCUGGCGGCGUGCCUAAUACAUGCAAGUCGAGCGAACGGACGAGAAGCUUGCUUCUCUGAUGUUAGCGGCGGACGGGUGAGUAACACGUGGAUAACCUACCUAUAAGACUGGGAUAACUUCGGGAAACCGGAGCUAAUACCGGAUGAUAUUUUGAACCGCAUGGUUCAAAAGUGAAAGACGGUCUUUCUGUCACUUAUAGAUUGUUCCGCGCUGCAUUAGCUAGUUGGUAAGGUAACGGCUUACCAAGGCAACGAUGCAUAGCCGACCUGAGAGGGUGAUCGGCCACACUGGAACUGAGACACGGUCCAGACUCCUACGGGAGGCAGCAGUAGGGAAUCUUCCGCAAUGGGCGAAAGCAUGACGGAGCAACGCCGCGUGAGUGAUGAAGGUCUUCGGAUCGUAAAACUCUGUUAUUAGGGAAGAACAUAUGUGUAAGUAACUGUGCACAUCGUGACGGUACCUAAUCAGAAAGCCACGGCUAACUACGUG
rnacentral:rRNA from 1 species